UACGUAGGGACCGAGCGUUGUCCGGAAUCAUUGGGCGUAAAGGGUGCGUAGGUGGCGCUGUAAGUCGGGUGUGAAAUUUCGGAGCUUAACUCCGAAACUGCAUUCGAUACUGCGGUGCUUGAGGACUGGAGAGGAGACUGGAAUUCAUGGUGUAGCAGUGAAAAUGCGUAGAGAUCAUGAGGAAGACCAGUGGCGAAGGCGGGUCUCUGGACAGUUCCUGACACUGAGGCACGAAGGCCAGGGGAGCAAACGGG
rnacentral:rRNA from 1 species